rnacentral:rRNA from 1 species
UCGAUGAAGAACGCAGCGAAAUGCGAUAAGUAAUGUGAAUUGCAGAAUUCAGUGAAUCAUCGAAUCUUUGAACGCACAUUGCGCCCCCUGGUAUUCCGGGGGCAUGCCUGUUCGAGCGUCAUUUAUACCAAUCUAGCCUGGCUAGGUGUUGGGCUUCGCCGGCUGGCGGGCCUUAAAACCAGUGGCGGUGCUCUUAGGCUCUACGCGUAGUAAUUUUCUCGCUAUAGGGUCCUGGGAGAUGCUGGCCAGCAACCCCAAAUUUCUAGGUUGACCUCGGAUCAGGUAGGGAUACCCGCUGAACUUAA